rnacentral:rRNA from 1 species
CCUACGGGAGGCAGCAGUGGGGGAUAUUGCACAAUGGGGGGAACCCUGAUGCAGCGACGCCGCGUGUGGGAAGAAGGUCCUCUGGAUUGUAAACCACUGUCCCCAGGGACGAAACUGACGGUACCUGGGGCGGAAGCUCCGGCUAACUACGUGCCAGCAGCCGCGGUAAUACGUAGGGAGCGAGCGUUGUCCGGAAUUACUGGGUGUAAAGGGAGCGUAGGCGGGGAUGCAAGUUGGGUGUCAAAACUACCGGCUCAACUGGUAGUCGCACUCAAAACUGCAACUCUUGAGUGAAGUAGAGGCAGGCGGAAUUCCUAGUGUAGCGGUGAAAUGCGUAGAGAUUAGGAGGAACACCAGUGGCGAAGGCGGCCUGCUGGGCUUUGACUGACGCUGAGGCUCGAAAGUGUGGGGAGCAAACAGGAUUAGAUACCCGAGUAGUC